UGACUUGCCCCCAGUCACACAGCUGACAAGUGGCGGAGCCGGGAUGGAACCCCCACCUCUUGCCUGCCACCUCGUUCAUUCUCUCCUUGAACGACCCGCUCAUAAUAAUAAUUACCGUAUUUGAGGGAUGCCUCAGGGGGGUGUGGCGCUUUGAGGAGCGGAGAGGUUCUUUGAAGUUGAGGCGUUCUGAGGAUUGUAAAACCAGUGGUUUUUUGGCACCACCUUAAGGGAAGCCGGCCAGGACCCAAGAGGCUACGUGAUCUUCGUGACGGCCAGAUUAGGGGAGGAGGAAGAAUUGCUGGAUUCACAGAAAGAGGAAAACGAACGGACCUCGCCUUUCCUGUGACUGGCAACCAGAAGAAGGCACAUCUAGACCACGGUGAGCCCGUCGUUGGGCAGGGAUCGUCUC